UCGGUUUAGCUGCUCGGUGCAGAUUGCAGCUGGAUAGUAGCCACCCGCAGGAGACGUUUUCCAGACGAGAACAGCUGCGACCUUGAAGAAAAAGCAAUGAGGAUUGAUCCGCAGGUGCGCAGUCCUGCCGGUGCCAUGCUCACAGAUGCGAAGCGGCACCGGCUUGUAUUUUAUACUGUUUGGUGAGGUGACGUAAGCUGAUGCCACGUUAGAGUGGUCCCAGGGAGUCGUUGCAGUGAAUGUCGGCGAUCCGUUGGUGAUGUAGCAAUGGACCAUUUCUGAAAGUUGAGCGCGCCCCCUACGCGACCGCCGCAAAUCAGGCUGGGAAUUGUGAGCGAUCUUGGCGGGCAGGAUCCGGCGCCGGAGCGGUACGACAUGGACGUCGCGCAACAGCAGAUGGCGCAUUCACGGUUGAAACCGGCCUGCUUGUGGGCCUUGAGGACAUCUUCAGAACGGCGCAGAACGGACGACGACGCCUGUACCUUUUCAUGACGUCCUCACGACAUCCUCAGAACGACACAGAACGGACGAGGACGUUUGUAUCUUUUGAGGACAUACUCAGGAUGUCGCGUGUUGUCUGGGUGACAAAUGUGAGCUCAAGCAAAAUUAGGAACAAGGUACACUGUCUGCAGAUUCAUCAGCCGGUGGAACUGCCUAAGCCAGCUCCCUGAAUCAUGAAGUGACCAAUGUGUGAUAUUAUAUUCACAAAGCAAAUCUCUACAAGGUGCCUUAGGGACAUUUUGCUUAUGUAGCUGUGUUAUUGAUUUGAUUUAUUAAAAACUGUUUGAAACCUUUG